rnacentral:rRNA from 1 species
UACGUAGGGCGCAAGCGUUGUCCGGAAUUAUUGGGCGUAAAGAGCUCGUAGGCGGUCUGUCGCGUCGGCUGUGAAAACCCGAGGCUCAACCUCGGGCCUGCAGUCGAUACGGGCAGACUAGAGUGCUGUAGGGGAGAAUGGAAUUCCCGGUGUAGCGGUGAAAUGCGCAGAUAUCGGGAGGAACACCGGUGGCGAAGGCGGCCCGCUGGGCAACUGCUGACACUGAGGCGCGACAGCGUGGGGAGCAAACAGG